GGCACUGUGACGGAGUGGUUAACGUGAGAGAUUAGAACUCAUUAGCGAUCUCUUCCUCUCUGAGGGCACAGGUUCGAAUCCUGUCAGUGUCG